GGGAGGCGCGGCGUAGAUCUCCUGCGGCCCGGGCCUCGCGGGAGGGUGGGAAGGAGGGAGGGAGGGAGGGCGGGCCGGGCGGGGCGCUGGACGUGCCCGGCCCUUCUCAGGUAACAGGGCGGCAGAGCUGGAGUCGGAGCCAGCGCGAGGGGCGGGGGCGUGCGGGCCUCGGCCUAUAAAAGGCCGCCCUGGCGCUCGCUCCCUCCUCCGCCCUCCCCUCCCUCUCCCCCCACCCCGGGCGAGCCUCGCGCCCCGCCUCGCCCUCCUCCUCUUCUGCGGUGCUGCAGUGUCUGCGCCCGGCCACUUAAUGAAAUUUAUUCACGCGCGGCCCUGCCCAGCCUUCCUUCCUUGCUCAGGCUGGGCAGAUACACACAGCACGGGAUUUCCCACCGUGGUGUUUUUCUCCCUCCCCGCUCUGCCUGCUCCUCUCGCGCUAGGACAACCACCAUGGGUUUCCCCCCCAGCCCCCGGCCGCGCAGGCUGCACACACACACCCCACUCGGCACGAGCGAGUACACCGAAAGACUAGUCACCUCCCAACCUCCACUCCUCUCGCGGCAGCCCUCGGAGCCUUUCAGAAAAAAUGUUGGCAAAAGGGAAAGUCGGCGUGUUUUCAUUCACUCGUAGUGCAAGAUUUUACUACGGGUUGACACAGAAGAAAAAGUGGGUGGGGUAGGGCAUAAAAUAAAAUAAAAUAAAAACCAACUUUAUUUGGAGCCUGAACGGACAUGGUACUGGUGCAGUAAGGGAUUGAGGGGUGCAGGGCGGGGAGGGGGGGGAGAACAGAUGCUGCUGGUUUGGACGUCAAAUUAGAACCUUUGGGUUUUGUUUGGCUUGGUCACUAAUGUUGGGCGUGACCUCGGACUAAUAAUUUGGUUUCUUUAGGUUUUCUCACGUGUAAAACGAGGGCCCCCUCUUAAAAACUAAUCUUUGUGGGUUGUCGUUCCCCCUCCCCUCCGCCCCAACCAAAAAGAUUAAAGUAACAGGAAGCAAAGACUACGGUUUCAGCUUUGAAAUUUGCCUGUGGAACUAGGACACUUGACAGUCAUUAUCCAUCCAAAGUAGAGCUCAUUCUGUCCCACUUACAAAAUUAUACAGGUGCAUUUUACUGCUUGUUAUAUUGCCCUGUAUUUGGAGUGGGGUGAGAGCUUCUGCUCGCAGUCAUUGUGGGUUUUCACAUAAAAUCAAAAGGCUUGAAGGGACACUUCGCAGAAAGCAGCAUUCUAUAACAUAAAUGUUAAUAUGAAUUUAUGCUUAGAGUGAUUUGAGACUGAUCAAUACAGUAAAUUAGCCUCAAGGGCAUCAUAAUAAGUGGCAAGACUAGAGUGUAACCUACUAACAGCCAUAGUACAGGGAAAUUUUAAAAAUUGAUUUUAAGUAUUAGAAGACUAUAAAAGUGAUUUUAAAAUAUGACUCCCCCACACAAGCCUUGGGUUCGUCUGCAGUGUAUGGUUUUUGGUACAAUGUCAGAUGGACAACAUCAGUGAUUUCUAUAAUGUCCUGUAGAACUUAGGAUAUUUUUGAUAAUUUUAAUAUUUUGUCACAACUAAAUCACAUAUUAGGGUGACGGAGCGUGGAAUUUAUUUGGCGACCCCACCCGCCAGCCCUGUAUAUCUCAAGCAGUAUAAAACUGAGACUACUAUAUUUUAAUGAAGUCCACACAUAAUAUUUAAAUUGUAUUGUUUCUAACUGAUGGAAAUUAAAGUUAUCAAAGAUUAGCUCUUUCUAGAACAAGAUUAUUUUAAAAAUACAUGUUAUAAUUCAUCUGUUUUUAUUUUCUGUGUAUUGGUGUUCUCGAGGCAUGUCUACGAGGAUGGUGAAUUCCCUCUGGAGCUUACAGACAUUGUGAGCUGCUGUGUGGUUGCUGGGAAUUGAACCUGGGCCCUCUGGAAGAGCAGACAGUGCUCUUAAUUGCUGAGCCAUCUCUCCAACUCCUAGAACAAGAUUCUUAACCAUUGCCUCCUGAAACAUUUACUAUUUCAAAAGGCACUUAGGACCACUUUUCUUCCUAAAAAUCCAAAGGAAUAAUGUUCACUCUUGAAACACAUAUGCAUAAUGAGAUUAAGAGCAGUGUGUCCAUGGCAUGUAAUUUAAAGUUGAUGGACAAAUUAAAAAAAAAUUGAUGACAGUCUCCUAACCAUGAAUUUAAUAAUGUUUUAUAAAUAUAUUCCUCGUGGAAAAAAAAAGUCUUAGGGUUUUCAGUUAGCGAUUCGGUUUUAAAUUUUAUUUUACUCGGUAUGUUUGUCUGAUAAGUAUCAGUUUAUUUUCUCAUCUAUGAAAUGCAUAGUAACUCUUAUUGUAACUUCCCAGGCAUGUAAUCAGACUCACAAUGUAAUAAUGUGGAUGAAAGUUCACAUCCAGAUGACUACUUAUUUUAAAACAACCAAAAUCACUUGGAAUUAUUUGUUUGUGUACAAAAUGUGAAAUGCCAGAUGUGAACUGAAAUACCAUUUUUUAAGUGGCUAUCAUUUGCUAAGCAAUGGUAGGUAUGGUGACAUGGUCUCCUUACAGAAUUUAUAUACCAGAAUUAUAAGAAAUAUAUAUUUAAGGAUAGCAAUUCACGUUUGUCAGUUAUUCGAGCUCUUUGGCUGACAUCAUCUUACCCAUUUGCUCAACGCCUUUCUACCCUUCCAUACCAAUACUUUUAAACAUCAGUUGAAAACAUUUGCUUUUAACAAUUGAUUAUCUGAAAUUGUAGGAAAAGACCAUCUACUGGGGGAGGGGGGUUGUAUGGUGACUUAGUCAACAACAGCCAGCCCAUUCCAUAAUAAUGGCUCUCCUUACUCUGGCCAGAACACUUGACAAGAAGAAACAUAGUGGGGAAAGUAUUUUGGUUUAAAAUUCUAAGCAGUAAACUCUGUAAGUGUGGGGAAGACAUGGUCAUAGGAAUGUGAAGUAGCUGCUCAUUUUUGCCCAGUCAGGAAACAAAGAAAGAUGCUCAGUUCAGUUUCACCUUUUAAUUUAUACAGGGACUCGAGCUUAUAGAAUAAUGGUGUCCACAGUCAGUGCGGGUCUUCCCUCAUCAGUUAAACCAUGCUAGAAAUACCCUUGUACAUAUACUGUGUUUCCGUGGUGAUUCCAAAGUUAACAAUAAAGAUUAACCAUCAUAACCUUCUAGCUUGCUCUUCUGUACUUUAGAAUCUGGCUUUUAUAGUAAUAUAAAUAUAAUAAUAAAAAUUGGUUUCCAGACUCCCUUGCAGUUCAGGUACUAACAUGAAAUCAGUGGUGUGAUGAUAAAUAUUUAAUUUCAGCCAAAAAGCUGGACUUUUAAUAUGUAGUAUUCAAGUUUCUAAAGUUACUUAAAUAUGAAUUAGUUGACAAAAAUGCUAACAAUCAGAAGCUGGCUUCAGCAUGUUUAGUUUCCAGCAAUCAGAUGCACCCAUUCAAGAUGUGUUUCUGAAAGUGAGCAGCUUAGUCAUUCACCUGUAUUUGGAAAGGUGAGCUUUUCUGGCAAACACCAUGAUUAGAGUAUUUGAUUCUUCUGAGAGGAGUGCUAACUUUUAUUUUGUUGUCACAAAUGAUGACUGGUAGAUUGUAUGUAUAUAUGUAUGUAUGUAUGUAUGUAUGUAUGUAUGUAUGUAUGUAUGGGUUUCCAUUAAUACUAAUGUGAGGUGUAUUUUUUUCCGGGCAUUGUUUUUCCUGGAAGUUGUUUCUAACUAUAUGCUUUCUAAACCUGACUCUCUGGUUUUGAAAGAUUUGUGUGAUCUAAAUUGUAUCCAUUAAUCCUUGCUACUUAAACUAGCCCAGCCAUGUCCAAUUGCAUUAAUUUUUGGCCCUUAGAGCAAUAUGAAAAUGCAGGCCUGUGAUUCAAGUGCAGAGACAAAUGUCAUUUUCUAUACUAAACUGUCAUGUUGCCACUGCCUCCUCUUCUCCCGUCUUCUCCUUCCCUUUCUCCCUCCACUGGCAAGGAUGUUUUCUAAACUUGAUGAUUUGUAGCCUAGACUGUCCUAGAACAUAUGUGAUCCUUCUGUCCCAGUGCUCUGAGUGCUAGGGUUAUAGACGUGUAAUGACAUCCAUGAUUUAAUCUGUUUUUUAAUGUCACUUUAAGAAAAAAAACCAAAAAUCUAAAUUCCUAUGAUGAAUCACACCACUCAUCUUUAUAUUGCCCAAAGCAGUAUAAAAUGCAGAUAUGGCAGUCCUUCACUAAUGUGGACUCACCGAAAUUACCUAAUUGGAAUUUCAUGGCUUCUACAUCCAUAUGUAUUUGUGAUGUCACAAUGGUGUGAACUCAGCACAAAAUGAAUUCAACUAUUUUUGUUUCCCUUCUUGUUAUGCAUCUGUUCCAACAACAUCCUCUACCUUCUGCUCACAGACAAGUACCUCCUGGGUGGGGCUCAUGAUCAGAAAGAUCAAAGCAAGAUUAGAGAUCGAGACUUUGGGCCCCAUCCUCCAGCCCCCCGGGGCUUGUGAAUAGCUGAAGGUUCAGUGAGCACCAGUUCUAUCAAGAGCUGGAUAGAACCUCCAUGGAAAUGCAGGGAGAGGAUGGAGAACUCCAUAGCUGAGCACAUGGUCUCCGUAGCUGAGCACAUGGUCCUUACUGGGUAGAAGUGCGUGGACGUACUGUGCCCUUCCGUCGAUCUUCUCACCAAUUUUCUUUCAAUAAUCUUUAAAAUAAACUACAGCCGGCUAA